rnacentral:rRNA from 1 species
AGUGAACGCUGGCGGUAGGCCUAACACAUGCAAGUCGAACGGCAGCACAGUAAGAGCUUGCUCUUACGGGUGGCGAGUGGCGGACGGGUGAGGAAUACAUCGGAAUCUACUUUUUCGUGGGGGAUAACGUAGGGAAACUUACGCUAAUACCGCAUACGACCUACGGGUGAAAGCAGGGGAUCUUCGGACCUUGCGCGAUUGUAUGAGCCGAUGUCGGAUUAGCUAGUUGGCGGGGUAAAGGCCCACCAAGGCGACGAUCCGUAGCUGGUCUGAGAGGAUGAUCAGCCACACUGGAACUGAGACACGGUCCAGACUCCUACGGGAGGCAGCAGUGGGGAAUAUUGGACAAUGGGCGCAAGCCUGAUCCAGCCAUACCGCGUGUGUGAAGAAGGCCUUCGGGUUGUAAAGCCCUUUUGUUGGGAAAGAAAAGCAGCAGGUUAAUACCCCGCUGUUCUGACGGUACCCAAAGAAUAAGCACCGGCUAACUUCGUG